rnacentral:lncRNA from 1 species
UCUAAUUAUGUCUUCCACUAUUUUAUCAAACUUCAUAGCCCUCAAGUAUGAAAAUUGAAAAAUAUUCUAAUAUUUCUUAGUGGGAUUGAGAUCCCUAUUCCUCACAAACACUUUGUGAAUAGCACAAUAAGUAUUCAUGAGUUCAAGAGUAGGUAACUCUUUACCAAUUGUACCUUUAUAAUUCUUAACAUCAUUCACUCUUACCUCU